rnacentral:rRNA from 2 species
UAGGGAAUAUUGCGCAAUGGGGGAAACCCUGACGCAGCAACGCCGCGUGGAGGAUGACACUUUUCGGAGCGUAAACUCCUUUUGUUAGGGAAGAAUAAUGACGGUACCUAACGAAUAAGCACCGGCUAACUCCGUGCCAGCAGCCGCGGUAAUACGGAGGGUGCAAGCGUUACUCGGAAUCACUGGGCGUAAAGGACGCGUAGGCGGAUUAUCAAGUCUCUUGUGAAAUCUAACGGCUUAACCGUUAAACUGCUUGGGAAACUGAUAAUCUAGAGUAAGGGAGAGGCAGAUGGAAUUCUUGGUGUAGGGGUAAAAUCCGUAGAUAUCAAGAAGAAUACCUAUUGCGAAGGCGAUCUGCUGGAACUUAACUGACGCUAAUGCGUGAAAGCGUGGGGAGCAAACA